rnacentral:rRNA from 1 species
GGGCAGCACGGGGAGCUUGCUCCCUGGUGGCGAGCGGCGGACGGGUGAGUAAUGCAUAGGAAUCUGCCCGGUAGUGGGGGAUAACCUGGGGAAACCCAGGCUAAUACCGCAUACGUCCUACGGGAGAAAGCAGGGGCUCUUCGGACCUUGCGCUAUCGGAUGAGCCUAUGUCGGAUUAGCUGGUUGGUGAGGUAAUGGCUCACCAAGGCGACGAUCCGUAGCUGGUCUGAGAGGAUGAUCAGCCACACUGGGACUGAGACACGGCCCAGACUCCUACGGGAGGCAGCAGUGGGGAAUAUUGGACAAUGGGCGCAAGCCUGAUCCAGCCAUGCCGCGUGUGUGAAGAAGGCCCUCGGGUUGUAAAGCACUUUCAGCGAGGAAGAAGGCUUGGCGGCUAAUAUCCGUCAAGAAGGACAUCACUCGCAGAAGAAGCACCGGCUAACUCCGUGCCAGCAGCCGCGGUAAUACGGAGGGUGCGAGCGUUAAUCGGAAUUACUGGGCGUAAAGCGCGCGUAGGUGGUUUGGCACGCCGGUUGUGAAAGCCCCGGGCUCAACCUGGGAACGGCAUCCGGAACGGCCAGACUAGAGUGCAGGAGAGGAAGGUAGAAUUCCCGGUGUAGCGGUGAAAUGCGUAGAGAUCGGGAGGAAUACCAGUGGCGAAGGCGGCCUUCUGGCCUGACACUGACACUGAGGUGCGAAAGCGUGGGUAGCAAACAGGAUUAGAUACCCUGGUAGUCCACGCCGUAAACGAUGUCGACUAGCCGUUGGGACCUUUAAGGACUUAGUGGCGCAGUUAACGCGAUAAGUCGACCGCCUGGGGAGUACGGCCGCAAGGUUAAAACUCAGAUGAAUUGACGGGGGCCCGCAACAACGGUGGAGCAUGUGGUUUAAUUCGAUGCAACGCGAAGAACCUUACCUACCCUUGACAUCCAGAGAACUUGGCAGAGAUGCCUUGGUGCCUUCCGGAACUCUGAAACAGGUGCUGCAUGGCUGUCGUCACC